rnacentral:rRNA from 1 species
UACGUAGGGGGCAAGCGUUGUUCGGAAUUACUGGGCGUAAAGGGAGCGUAGGCGGGUUUCUAAGUCAGGUGUUUAAUCCCGGGGCCCAACCCCGGACAGGCACUUGAAACUGGGAAUCUUGAAUAGUGGAGAGGUCAGUGGAAUUGGGGGUGUAGCGGUGGAAUGCGUAGAGAUCCGCAAGAACACCAGUUGCGAAGGCGGCUGACUGGACACAUAUUGACGCUGAGGCUCGAAAGCAUGGGGAGCAAACAGG